rnacentral:rRNA from 1 species
UACGGAGGGGGCUAGCGUUGCUCGGAAUCACUGGGCGUAAAGGGUGCGUAGGCGGGUCUUUAGGUCAGGGGUGAAAUCCUAGAGCUCAACUCCAGAACUGCCUUUGAUACUGAGGAUCUUGAGUUCGGGAGAGGUGAGUGGAACUGCGAGUGUAGAGGUGAAAUUCGUAGAUAUUCGCAAGAACACCAGUGGCGAAGGCGGCUCACUGGCCCGAUACUGACGCUGAGGCACGAAAGCGUGGGGAGCAAACAGG